CUCUCGGCAGAGGAAGCGCGCCUGUUUCUGCGAAGUAAAGCGAAACAACAGCCCCUCAAUCCCUCCCCCCAACCCCUCAUCAGCGCGGGCCUUUUGAGAAGGGAUGAAGCCGCUUUCUCUCGCCAGCCUCGACCCUUCCCCAAAAGCGCCCCAGUGAGGCGGUCGGGUAGAGAAGGGAUAAAGGACGAGUCACUUGCCCGUCAGGGGCGGGGAAGGAUUUCGCUUUGGCUGCGAGACCCGCUUCUCAGCCGCGCAGCCUCAACUUCCAAGGAAGUUCGCCGGGAGCAGCCAGGCAGCCGCACCACGAGCGAGGGAUCCCCGCGGGAGAGGGAAAGCGCUCACCCACGCCGUAUUUCUCCUCGCGCUUGGUAUAAAAGUUGUUACGGUCAGAUGCUGCAAGAUUUGAACCAAACCUUGCCCCAAAAGCAUGAAUGCUACUCCCACAGGUGUUCUAGAGCAACCAGGAUACUUCCUGAUCUAUGUGACCAAAAUAAUGCACGUGGAAGGCAACCAAGAGAGGAAAAAACAAUCCUAAUUUGAGAUUUUAAUGAAAAAACAAAGCCUUUACCAUUUUUAAGCAAAUCAACCUUUACAUAAUAUAUGAAUUUCCUGGAUUUAUAAAACAUGCUAAACCAUAAAUGUGUUUAUUUAUUGAAUCUUGUUAUUGUGUGUUUUAGCAACCCAUGUGAAAUCUAGUAAAUAAAAACUAAUGUGUUCAACCAA